rnacentral:rRNA from 1 species
UUUUAUUUGAGAGUUUGAUCCUGGCUCAGGAUGAACGCUGGCGGCGUGCCUAACACAUGCAAGUUGAGCGAUUUACUUCGGUAAAGAGCGGCGGACGGGUGAGUAACGCGUGGGUAACCUACCCUGUACACACGGAUAACAUACCGAAAGGUAUGCUAAUACGGGAUAAUAUAUUUGAGAGGCAUCUCUUGAAUAUCAAAGGUGAGCCAGUACAGGAUGGACCCGCGUCUGAUUAGCUAGUGGGUAAGGUAACGGCUUACCAAGGCGACGAUCAGUAGCCGACCUGAGCGGGUGAUCGGCCACAUUGGAACUGAGACACGGUCCAAACUCCUACGGGAGGCAGCAGUGGGGAAUAUUGCACAAUGGGCGAAAGCCUGAUGCAGCAACGCCGCGUGAGUGAUGAAGGCCGUCGGGUCGUAAAACUCUGUCCUCAAGGAAGAUAAUGACGGUACUUGAGGAGGAAGCCCCGGCUAACUACGUGCCAGCAGCCGCGGUAAUACGGAGGGGGCUAGCGUUAUCCGGAUUUACUGGGCGUAAAGGGUGCGUAGGCGGUCUUUCAAGUCAGGAGUGAAAGGCUACGGCUCAACCGUAGUAAGCUCUUGAAACUGGGAGACUUGAGUGCAGGAGAGGAGAGUGGAAUUCCUAGUGUAGCGGUGAAAUGCGUAGAUAUUAGGAGGAACACCAGUUGCGAAGGCGGCUCUCUGGACUGU